AUGACCUCAAUCAGUAGGGAUACCCGCUGACUUAGCUACA
rnacentral:rRNA from 1 species